GAUGAACGCUGGCGGCGUGCCUAAUACAUGCAAGUCGAGCGAACGGACGAGAAUUUUGCUUCUCUGAUGUUAGCGGCGCGGGUGAGUAUCACACGUGUAUACUCUACCUAUAAGACUGAUAUCAUCUCGGAAAAGCGGCUCUUAUACCAUAGGAUAUUUUGAACCACAUGGUUCAAUAGAAAAAUACGGUCUUGCUGUCACUUAUAGCUGGAUCCGCGCUGCAUUAGCUAGUUGGUGAGGUAACGGCUUACCAAGGCAACGAUGCAUAGCCGACCUGAGAGGGGGAUCGGCCACAUGGGAACGGGGACGGCGUCAAGAGUCCUACGGGAGGCAGCAGAAGGGAAUCUGCGGCAAUGGGCGAAAGCCUGACGGAGCAAGGCCGAGUGAGUGAUGAAGGUGUCCGGAUCGUAAAGCUCGGUUAUUAGGGAAGAACAGAUGUGUAAGUAAAUGUGGACAUCUUGACGGUACCUAAUCAGAAAGCCACGGCUAACUACGUG
rnacentral:rRNA from 1 species